UACGGGGGGAGCAAGCGUUGUUCGGAUUUACUGGGCGUAAAGGGCGCGUAGGCGGUCAGCACAAGUCAGUUGUGAAAUCUCCGGGCUUAACUCGGAAAGGUCAACUGAUACUGUGCGACUAGAGUGCGGAAGGGGCAACUGGAAUUCUCGGUGUAGCGGUGAAAUGCGCAGAUAUCAGAAGGAACACCGGUGGCGAAGGCGGUGGUCUGGGCCGGCACUGACGCUGAGGAGCGAAAGCGUGGGGAGCGAACAGG
rnacentral:rRNA from 1 species